UACGUAGGGUGCGAGCGUUAAUCGGAAUUACUGGGCGUAAAGCGUGCGUAGGCGGUUCGUCAAGUCUGAUGUGAAAGCCCCGGGCUCAACCUGGGAACUGCAUUGGAAACUAGCGAGCUUGAGUGUGGCAGAGGGGGGUGGAAUUCCACGUGUAGCAGUGAAAUGCGUAGAGAUGUGGAGGAACACCGAUGGCGAAGGCAGCCCCCUGGGCUAACACUGACGCUCAUGCACGAAAGCGUGGGGAGCAAACAGG
rnacentral:rRNA from 1 species